AAGAGAAUGGAAUUUCAGAAAAAAACUUUUUUCAAGUUAAAAAUUGAAAUUUUUUUAAUUUGUGCAGAAACAAUUAUUAAUAUUAAGGACAAGAAGACCCUAUGAAUUUAUAAAUUUUAUUUAAUAUGUAACUACUAUUAAAAAAAUUUUAGCUGGGGCGGCGGAAAAAUAUUUAAAACUUUUUUAAAAUAAAAUGACCCAUUAUUAAUGAUUAUAUGUUAAAUACUCUAGGGAUAACAGCGUUAUAUUUUUUGAUAGAUCAUAUUGACAAAAAAGUUUGCGACCUCGAUGUUGGAUUAGGAUACUUUUUUAAUGCAGAUAUUAAAAAAAGAAGUUUGUUCAACUUUUAAUUU
rnacentral:rRNA from 1 species